CCCUACGGGUGGCUGCAGUGGGGAAUUUUGGACAAUGGGGGCAACCCUGAUCCAGCAAUGCCGCGUGUGUGAAGAAGGCCUUCGGGUUGUAAAGCACUUUUGUCCGGAAAGAAAUCGCGCUGGUUAAUACCUGGCGUGGAUGACGGUACCGGAAGAAUAAGCACCGGCUAACUACGUGCCAGCAGCCGCGGUAAUACGUAGGGUGCGAGCGUUAAUCGGAAUUACUGGGCGUAAAGCGUGCGCAGGCGGUUUUGUAAGACAGGCGUGAAAUCCCCGGGCUUAACCUGGGAAUUGCGCUUGUGACUGCAAGGCUAGAGUGCGUCAGAGGGGGGUAGAAUUCCACGUGUAGCAGUGAAAUGCGUAGAGAUGUGGAGGAAUACCGAUGGCGAAGGCAGCCCCCUGGGACGUGACUGACGCUCAUGCACGAAAGCGUGGGGAGCAAACAGGAUUAGAUACCCGGGUAGUCG
rnacentral:rRNA from 1 species